CACGUAGGGGGCAAGCGUUGUCCGGAAUCAUUGGGCGUAAAGAGCUCGUAGGUGGUUUGGUAAGUCGGAUGUGAAAUCUCCAGGCUCAACCUGGAGGGGUCAUUCGAUACUGCCAUGACUAGAGGUCGGUAGGGGAGUGUGGAAUUCCUGGUGGAGCGGUGAAAUGCGCAGAUAUCAGGAGGAACACCCGUAGCGAAGGCGGCACUCUGGGCCGAUUCUGACACUGAGGAGCGAAAGCGUGGGGAGCGAACAGG
rnacentral:rRNA from 1 species